GGGUAUAGCUCAGUGGUAGAGUGUGUGCUUAGCAUGUCCAAGGUCCUGGGUUCAAUCCCUGGUACCUCCG
rnacentral:tRNA from 1 species